UCAGGUGGCCGCAGAGAAUAGGCCCAAGCGACUGUUUACCAAAAACAUAGGUUUCUGCUAAGUCGCAAGACGAUGUAUAGGAGCUGACGCCUGCCCGGUGCUGGAAGGUUAAGGGGAUCUGUUAGAGCAAUCGAAGCAGUGAACUUAAGCCCCAGUAAACGGCGGCCGUAACUAUACCGGUCCUAAGGUAGCGAAAUUCCUUGUCGGGUAAGU
rnacentral:rRNA from 1 species